rnacentral:rRNA from 1 species
UACGUAGGGUGCGAGCGUUGUCCGGAAUUAUUGGGCGUAAAGAGCUCGUAGGCGGUUUGUCGCGUCUGCUGUGAAAACCUAAGGCUCAACCUUGGGCUUGCAGUGGGUACGGGCAGACUAGAGUGCGGUAGGGGUGACUGGAAUUCCUGGUGUAGCGGUGGAAUGCGCAGAUAUCAGGAGGAACACCGAUGGCGAAGGCAGGUCACUGGGCCGCAACUGACGCUGAGGAGCGAAAGCGUGGGGAGCAAACAGG